UACGUAGGGGGCAAGCGUUGUCCGGAUUUAUUGGGCGUAAAGGGCGCGUAGGCGGCCUUCUAAGUCGAACGUGAAAUCCCUGGGCUCAACCCAGGAACUGCGUCCGAUACUGGAAGGCUUGAAUCCGGGAGAGGGAUGCGGAAUUCCAGGUGUAGCGGUGAAAUGCGUAGAUAUCUGGAGGAACACCGGUGGCGAAGGCGGCAUCCUGGACCGGCAUUGACGCUGAGGCGCGAAAGCCAGGGGAGCAAACGGG
rnacentral:rRNA from 1 species